rnacentral:tRNA from 1 species
GGAGGGAUCGCAUAGUGGUCUAGUGCGCCCGCCUGCUAAGCGGGUUGGGGGUUAAAGCUCCCGCAUGGGUUCGAAUCCCAUUCCCUCCG